UAUAUAUUUUUUAUGUACAUUAGUGGAAUACCAAUAGGGUAAGUGGGUUUUAAAAGAAUUUUUUAAUAAUAAAAACUUAAUUUCUGGCGCCAUAUCAGGCCAGCACCUAAUAAGGGUUCACUUCCGGUAUGGGGAAACAAAAGGGGGCAGCUGUUGUUUGGCGUGCAUGCUGGCGCUGUUGUGGGACCGGCUCGGUUGGUGUGUCGUCGCUGUGGCGGGAGCUGAGUCUGGAGGUAGAUCAUAGAUGCAGCAGUAAGCCGUGUUAGGAAUCCAACACGGGUUUUCCUUCUGCUCGGUUGUUUGGUGGUGCAGUGGUCCAGUGGUGGAGGGCCAUCUAAUUAAAUAGAGCUUUAGGCUUCACUGCCAAAGUAUACACAGACUGAGUAUUGUCCAGCCUUCCUUCUCCACUUGUGUUGGAGUGUAGCAUUCUACAAUUUAGUGGAACUGGGCCUUGUUGCCUGUGAGCCACUGUUUUCCUCCUACCACGUUUUUAUUUAAUGAACACUGUGCAAUAUCUCUGAGCCAUCUUGUUUAGUUGAUUGUGUACUGACCAUUCAGCAGUUCUUUGUGAGCUCAGUAUUUUUACUUGUGUUUACUGUGUUUUAGAUAGACACGGUUUCUAAUAUCCCCUACUGGGCCUUAGGUAUGUAACUAAUAGUGGUAUUGGAUACUGACUCAUGGUGUUUUGUUAAUUUGGUGUACACCUGUAGCAUCCUUUAUUUGAUGUCAAAACUAGUUUUGUUUGUAGAGUGAUUUAUUUUGUUUGUGGUUGUUUUGGUUGCUAGUGUGCGUCAUAACACAGAUUUAUUUAUUUAUUUAUUUAUUAUUUUUUUCAUUUGAGGUGAAUGAUUUGUUUUCAAUAACUGAAGUGUUGCAGGUGUUACACUCUUUUGUUUAUUUUCUUUUUGUUGUCAGGGUCAGUAAUAACAUUAUUCCCUCCAUUUUUGGAGUUUUUGGUUGAUGUAACCAUAAUUGCUGCUAUUGUUUAACUGAAAGUGCCAGAAUUUCUCUUUUUAUGAAGCCUUUGUCUGUAUUAUUAUAAUUGCUGUUAUUAGCUAACUGAAAGGGCCUUAAAGUAUUUUAUGCUUGUGUCCUGCUGAUUUUAUACAAUAAAUGAUAUAUUUUUGUUAAUCAGC